CACAGCUGGGUUUGGGCAGAAAUGCUGGCGAGCAGGUGGUUCUUCCAUAUUCUUGACACGGAACUCGGAGCUGUGAGAAACGAGGAAAUUGAUCGCGGUCUUCCUCCGCAGUACAAACACUGGAUGAAGUACAUCCUGUUCGCUGAGGCUGCAUGCCGCCAAUACCAAGAAGAUCAAUUCUUGUGGACUACUAUCUUCGUUUAUGGAAUACCACCGAAUGCAGA